UUUCUUCAAUUCUUCUCUCUACACAUUGGUGUUCUAACCAAUAAUCACCGAGGCGAUAUUCUGUCCGAUCGAUUCAGGAACCAACAAACGAAUGCCAAAGUGUUGUCUGAAUAAGACUAUACUUUGUGAAUUUUGUUAAGGUUCUGAUCUCGUAACCAUCGUUAGGUUUGAUAUGGUUUUACACAAAUACGUAUUCCACUCUGUUAAACUAUAUGUUUAACUAUCAGAAUACUCCCUACUAUACACUUACAAUCAAACAAGAUGCUUAAUCAUCAGAAGAUUCAGAACUGUAAAGUAGAUGCUUGUUUAAUCAAGACUAUAUGCUAACAAGAUUAAGUCGUGGUUAUCUUGAAUCACUGGCUAGUGGGGUUUUGUGCACAUUACUAAUUUCUCACGGUUAGGCUCAUAAACCUAACAGUGAUAAUCAUCACUACUUGGGUGAAAGGACCCAAUAGUGGUAUGACCAUCGUCACCAGGGUGCGACACGGCGCCAAAUAAAAAUAAGAUAGUAGCCAUUGUAAUCGCACUUAUGCUGUAAUCUAUAACAAUGUGUCAUUUUUGUACAAACUGAAUGAACUCACCAGUAUUUUCUGCUGACCAAAUGUUUUUAAAAUGCGUUUUAGCUAAUUACAGUAGAUCGGAAUAAGAGUUGGAUACGGCACCAAAAGACUUACAGAAGUGGCUUAAUUUAUCAAUUAAAUUAAAUUAAGAAAAGUUGUUUUUUUGUAUUCGGGUUUAUCCCAUAUUAAAGCUACCUUUCAAAACAUGGUUUUAUCCCAUCUAUUUAAUAAAUAAAAUCCGGUGUUUUCUAAACUCUGAUAUUUUUCCUAACUCACGGUACUGAUGAAAUUUCCGCUGCACCACUUUCUAAAUAACCACCGGUACCACUAAACUGGUUCGCGGCUCUCGAUUCUGUCCAGGGUGGGGUCGAAGGUCAUGACAUUUGGCGUUUUAUAUAAUAAUGUAUUUUAUUUAUAGAGAAUUAGAUAACAAAACAACAUAUAACUUGAUAUCAAUACAAUAUAAAAUGAAAACAAAAUAAUUAAAAAUGGUAAUCUAGUUUUUCUUUCCAAUCUUCAAUGUCAUCAGCCUCUUCCUUCUUGAAUUUGUUUUUGGCGUUUUGAACCCUUUUUGAAUAAUUUAGCUAGAUGCCAACUUUCCUUCAUAAACCCCGUCUUUUUUAGAAGAAGCUGCUUAGUGGCAUCCUGUUUUUUGGUGUGAUAUUCUUGUUUGGUGGCAUGUCAUUAAAGAUCAACUCUUGUUUGAUGCUAUUUGUAAUAAUGGAGUCCAAAAUAGCAUUUUACACUUGUGUUGAACCCUUUAAUCCAUCCAUAUAAUCAUCAAGAAGAAAGCUCACAUGAUGGCAUAUCACUGUCAUCAGUCUCUUUUUCUUGAAUAUUUGUCCAUCUCAUUUAGCAAAAUAUUAUUGAGUUAACCCCCUCAGAAAAAGGAUCCAUUUCAGUGAAAGCUUUGCCAUCUGUGGCGUUUUAAAGGUAGUGGGUUCUAGAGGAUAUGGCGAUUAUGUUUUUUUUUUGUUGUGAUUAAUUUCAUUGUGUAUAGACCCUCUCUUAGAGGAGUUUUUUGGCGCGUAGUUUAGGCGGGACUUUUUAUUGUAAUAAAUGAUAGUAAUAAAGUAACUGUCUUUUCAGUUACGGUUUUUGUAUUUACUGUGUUGAUCAGCUUUUAUCAGUUUUAUAGGUUAUAGACGUCCCAUCUUCUAAUUUUGGCGUUUUAUUUAAAUGGCGUUAUGCAGACCAACAUGAAAAAAUACAGUAACGGAGUAAAUAAAAUAUUAAGCAGGAAAAACAUUUUUUAUUAUUUUUGGCGUUUUGUUAGGGUUAACCAUUUUUAGUAUUUUUUUAGCGUUUUGCUAAUAAAGAUAGAAAUAUAUCGUUUAAUUAUCUUAAAAAAAGAAGAUUACAUAGUAG
rnacentral:lncRNA from 1 species